rnacentral:rRNA from 1 species
GUUUGAUCAUGGCUCAGGAUGAACGCUGGCGGCGUGCUUAACACAUGCAAGUCGAACGGGAAUUACUUUAUUGAAACUUCGGUCGAUUUAAUUUAAUUCUAGUGGCGGACGGGUGAGUAACGCGUGGGUAACCUGCCUUAUACAGGGGGAUAACAGUCAGAAAUGGCUGCUAAUACCGCAUAAGCGCACAGAGCUGCAUGGCUCAGUGUGAAAAACUCCGGUGGUAUAAGAUGGACUCGCGUUGGAUUAGCUUGUUGGCGGGGUAACGGCCCACCAAGGCGACGAUCCAUAGCCGGCCUGAGAGGGUGAACGGCCACAUUGGGACUGAGACACGGCCCAGACUCCUACGGGAGGCAGCAGUGGGGAAUAUUGCACAAUGGGGGAAACCCUGAUGCAGCGACGCCGCGUGAAGGAAGAAGUAUCUCGGUAUGUAAACUUCUAUCAGCAGGGAAGAUAGUGACGGUACCUGACUAAGAAGCCCCGGCUAACUACGUGCCAGCAGCCGCGGUAAUACGUAGGGGGCAAGCGUUAUCCGGAUUUACUGGGUGUAAAGGGAGCGUAGACGGUGUGGCAAGUCUGAUGUGAAAGGCAUGGGCUCAACCUGUGGACUGCAUUGGAAACUGUC